ACUGAUGUCGUGGCGCUUUAGGGGAAGAAGUUGGUGUUUCGCUGGGCCCUGGUACUGAAGACGCGGUCCGGGUCGCCCCUAGCUGUUUCCUACUCACCCAAAGCCCCGCACCCGCCUUUUCUCUCUCUCCUCUGGCAGGAUGAGGCGUGCAGGCCUGGGUGAAGGAGUACCUCCUGGCAACUAUGGGAACUAUGGCUAUGCUAAUAGUGGGUAUAGUGCCUGUGAAGAAGAAAAUGAGAGGCUCACUGAAAGUCUGAGAAGCAAAGUAACUGCUAUAAAAUCUCUUUCCAUUGAAAUAGGCCAUGAAGUUAAAACCCAGAAUAAAUUAUUAGCUGAAAUGGAUUCACAAUUUGAUUCCACAACUGGAUUUCUAGUGGAUCCUUCAGGUUCCAGGGAUUUCACCAGUAGCAGUGAAAGCCUACUUCUGCUAAUUUUGACUGUUCCUCAGCAUUUGUCCAGAAGCUUAAAAAGAAGGAGGCUUACUUUCAGUGCCAUCUAUCACAGCUGCAGAAUUAUAUCAUGACAUGUCAAAAUAAUGACUCUGAAGCCUUCCAAAUCUUCCAAGAAAGAAGAAUCCUUAUUUUAGAUUAGUAGGAAAUGGCUUUCUACCACUCUGAAAAGUCUCUUCUUGGCCAAACAUCAAAGUCUGGAGCCAGAGAUAAAUUAAUGCAGAGAACUCCUAGUUGGGCAAUCAGUUCCAGACUCCACAGACCCCAGGACACAAACUCUAUUCAAGAAUCUGUUUGUGAUGGUUCAGAAGUUUUCAAGCUUGCUUUGGGUACAAACUGUAUUUCCAACACUUCUAGCCCUAUAUAUACCUGUCAAUGAUAUUAUACUUAUAAAUACAAAAGUCCUUAUUAUGGAUGAAGAAAUAGAUUAAUUAAAAUUGUAUAGAUUAUAUAUUAGCAUAUGAUAUUAUACAUCAUUAUAAAAACGAAGAAAUAGGACUUGAGCUUUUUUUCAAUUUUGCCACUGUUAAAAUCACUUGAAUCUUUACCUUUGGGAACUAGCAUUCACAAAAUGGUGAAUACUAACUCUUAUCCUGAUUUGCUACAAGAAACUAGUCUAGAAUGAGCAGUGUAAUUAUUAGCACUACACUCUUUCUAUGCUUCACACACUACAGAAUCUUCAUCUUCAAGUCUGUAAUUCCUCAAAGUACAUGGAUCAACAUUUAGGCUUCUGGAGGCCAGCAGUGAACGAGGCAGUGCAAAAAUGACCAUAAUUCACAGUCAACCAGCCAACAUGUGUAGCUCCGGGCACAUGUUAUUAUAUUCACUGGAUGUUAACAGGAUUUCUAGUUAGAUUGAGAGAUGAGAAACUCUUUAAAAAGCUCAUUCUCUUUGGUAGAAUGAUUUAUUUUCCUUUGGAUAGAUACUCAGUAAUGGGAUUGCUGGGCUAAGUGGUAGUUCUGUUUUAAAUUAGUUGAGAAAUCUCCAAGCUGAUUUCCACAGUGGCAGAACUAAUUUACAUUCCUACCAACUAUGUAUAAGUGUUCUCUUUUCUCUGCAGCCCCGCCAGCAUCUGUUAUUUUUUGACUUUUUAAUAAUAGCCAUUUUGACUGAUGUGCAAUCUCGUGGUAUCUCAUUGUGGUUUUGCUUUGCAUUUGUCUAGUAAUUACUGAUUAUGAGCAUUUUUUAAAUAUGUUUCUUGGCCGCUUGAAUGGCUUCUUUGGAGAAGUGUCUGUUCACAUCCUUUACCCACCUUUUAAUGGGGUUGUUUUUUUGCGUAUCGAUUUAAGUUCCUUAAAGAUUCUGGAAGUUACAUGCACUCAUAUGUUCAUCGCAGUGCUAUUCACAAUAACAAGGACAUGGAAUCAACUGGGGUGCCCUUCAACAGUGGACUGGAUAAAGAAAAUGUGGUACAUAUAUGCCAUGGAAUAUCACAUAGCCAUAAAAAAGAAUGAAAUCAUAUCCUUUGCAGCAACAUGCAUGCAGCUGGAGGUCAUAAUCCUAAUCGAAUUAAUGCAGGAACAGAAAACCAAAUACUGUAUGUUCUUACUUAUAAGUGGGAGCUAAACAUUGAGUGCACGUAGAUAUAAAAAUUGGAACAACAGGCACUGUAGAAGGGGGAAGGGAGGAAGGAAGGUAUGGGUUGAAAAACUAGCUAUUGGGUACUAUGCUCACUACUUGGGUGAGAAAUUCAUAUCUCAAACCUCAGCAUCAUGCAAUAUAACCAUGUAAAAAAUCUGCACAUGUAACCCCUGAAUCUAAAAUAAAAGUGGAAAUCGUUUUUAUUUUUGUAUUAUUUAUUUAUUUAUUUUUAUUUUUAUUUACUUAUUUUUUGAGAUAGAGUCUCGCCCUGCCACUGAGGCUGGAGUGCAGUGGCGCAAUCUUGGCUCACUGCAACCUCUACCUCCUGAGUUUAAGCGAUUCUCCUGGCUCAGCCUCCUGAGUAGCUGGGACUACAGGCACACAGCAUCAUGCCUAGCUAAUUUUUGUAUUUUUAGUAGAGACGGGGUUUCACUAUGUUGGUUGAAGGCUGAGGCUGACGGAUCACCUGAGGUCAGGAGUCUGAAAUUGUUUUUAAAAAGUAUGUUUUGAUAUAAAGCCUUUUUUCAAUUUUUUUUAAAGUCUAAUUCUUGACAGAGCAACAGAAACAAAUAAAGUAGAAGCCCAAAAGGAAAUUUGUCAUUACUAAAACCAACCAGGCUCAGGUGACUUUUCUUCUCCAUUCAGACGGGAACUUAAAUGAACAAAAAUAUCUUUAACAAAUUGAAGACAACUUAAAGAUCAGUUUAUUUAUUCAUUCAACAAAUAUUUAUUAACUGGCUGCCACAUAUCCAUCAUUGUUCUAAAUUCUGCAGAUAUAGUAGUCAAUUAAGAUCCUUCCCUCAGUGAAGACUUAACUUUGAGUGGAGAGAACAAAAAAUGGACAAAUAAAAUAUAUAGUAUGUCAAAUGAUAAGUGCUAUGAAAAAAAAUGACUACUAGAUUCAGCAUGCAUGUAUACUGACUUGCUCUUUAAAUUUUAAGAGUUUUAGGAAAUGUCUACAGUAUUAGUUUUCUUCUCAUACUGCUAUAAAGACAUACCUGAGACUGGGUAAUUUAUAAAGAAAAGAGGUUUAACCAGCUCAUGGUUCUUGGGGCUAUGCAGUUUUCUGCUUCUACAGAGGCCUCAGGAAACUUACAACCAUGGUGGAAUGCGAAAUGGAAGUAGACAGGAGAGAGUUUCAGUUUUAGUCUUAAAAGAAAAAAAAAUACAUCUCUAACUAACCCCAGUCCUUGUGUUAGCAACAACUACUCCUUUUGACUGGUUAGGGAAUGAGCAUCUGUGACAUGGGCUUGAUGAAGUCAUGGCCAAUGUUAACUUUAAAUAAGUUUGAAACUAUUGUUGAUACAAAACAAAUAAAUUGCAGAGGAUUUUUUCCAAACAUCCCAUAAAUGCAUAGAAUUGAAAGCAAGUUUCAUUUCCAAUAGUUAAAGAGUCUAAUGUAUCCACUUUUAAUUAUAGCCAAGAUGUUUACCAUCUUAUUUGAUGUUCUGUGCUGUGAACUGUUGGGAAUCUAUUAGCUCAGUAUUUUGAAUUUCAGAUAAUGUAUCCUGUGUUUUUUUUUUAAUAAAGGUUUAUCUGACCAUUAAAUUACAAAA